CAUCUGUGAUGAUCCUAUCCCGAACCUGAAUUCUUUGCUGAAAAACCUAAUACGGAUCCGGCAUCUGAGAU
ensembl:snoRNA